GGUUAAGCGACUAAGCGUACACGGUGGAUGCCCUGGCAGUCAGAGGCGAUGAAGGACGUGCUAAUCUGCGAUAAGCGUCGGUAAGGUGAUAUGAACCGUUAUAACCGGCGAUUUCCGAAUGGGGAAACCCAGUGUGUUUCGACACACUAUCAUUAACUGAAUCCAUAGGUUAAUGAGGCGAACCGGGGGAACUGAAACAUCUAAGUACCCCGAGGAAAAGAAAUCAACCGAGAUUCCCCCAGUAGCGGCGAGCGAACGGGGAGCAGCCCAGAGCCUGAAUCAGUGUGUGUGUUAGUGGAAGCGUCUGGAAAGGCGCGCGAUACAGGGUGACAGCCCCGUACACAAAAAUGCACAUGCUGUGAGCUCGAUGAGUAGGGCGGGACACGUGGUAUCCUGUCUGAAUAUGGGGGGACCAUCCUCCAAGGCUAAAUACUCCUGACUGACCGAUAGUGAACCAGUACCGUGAGGGAAAGGCGAAAAGAACCCCGGCGAGGGGAGUGAAAAAGAACCUGAAACCGUGUACGUACAAGCAGUGGGAGCACGCUUCGGCGUGUGACUGCGUACCUUUUGUAUAAUGGGUCAGCGACUUAUAUUCUGUAGCAAGGUUAACCGAAUAGGGGAGCCGAAGGGAAACCGAGUCUUAACUGGGCGUUAAGUUGCAGGGUAUAGACCCGAAACCCGGUGAUCUAGCCAUGGGCAGGUUGAAGGUUGGGUAACACUAACUGGAGGACCGAACCGACUAAUGUUGAAAAAUUAGCGGAUGACUUGUGGCUGGGGGUGAAAGGCCAAUCAAACCGGGAGAUAGCUGGUUCUCCCCGAAAGCUAUUUAGGUAGCGCCUCGUGAAUUCAUCUCCGGGGGUAGAGCACUGUUUCGGCAAGGGGGUCAUCCCGACUUACCAACCCGAUGCAAACUGCGAAUACCGGAGAAUGUUAUCACGGGAGACACACGGCGGGUGCUAACGUCCGUCGUGAAGAGGGAAACAACCCAGACCGCCAGCUAAGGUCCCAAAGUCAUGGUUAAGUGGGAAACGAUGUGGGAAGGCCCAGACAGCCAGGAUGUUGGCUUAGAAGCAGCCAUCAUUUAAAGAAAGCGUAAUAGCUCACUGGUCGAGUCGGCCUGCGCGGAAGAUGUAACGGGGCUAAACCAUGCACCGAAGCUGCGGCAGCGACACUAUGUGUUGUUGGGUAGGGGAGCGUUCUGUAAGCCUGUGAAGGUGUGCUGUGAGGCAUGCUGGAGGUAUCAGAAGUGCGAAUGCUGACAUAAGUAACGAUAAAGCGGGUGAAAAGCCCGCUCGCCGGAAGACCAAGGGUUCCUGUCCAACGUUAAUCGGGGCAGGGUGAGUCGACCCCUAAGGCGAGGCCGAAAGGCGUAGUCGAUGGGAAACAGGUUAAUAUUCCUGUACUUGGUGUUACUGCGAAGGGGGGACGGAGAAGGCUAUGUUGGCCGGGCGACGGUUGUCCCGGUUUAAGCGUGUAGGCUGGUUUUCCAGGCAAAUCCGGAAAAUCAAGGCUGAGGCGUGAUGACGAGGCACUACGGUGCUGAAGCAACAAAUGCCCUGCUUCCAGGAAAAGCCUCUAAGCAUCAGGUAACAUCAAAUCGUACCCCAAACCGACACAGGUGGUCAGGUAGAGAAUACCAAGGCGCUUGAGAGAACUCGGGUGAAGGAACUAGGCAAAAUGGUGCCGUAACUUCGGGAGAAGGCACGC
rnacentral:rRNA from 1 species